GACAGAGGGGGCAAGCGUUGCUCGGAAUUACUGGGCGUAAAGGGCGCGUAGGCGGGAUGGCAAGUCGGUCGUGAAAUCCCUCGGCUCAACCGAGGAACGUCGAUCGAUACUGCUGUUCUUGAGGAUUGCAGAGGAGACUGGAAUUCCCGGUGUAGCGGUGAAAUGUGUAGAGAUCGAGAGGAACACCUGCGGCGAAGGCGGGUAGCUGGGCCGACACUGACGCUGAGGCGCGAAAGCCAGGGGAGCGAACGGG
rnacentral:rRNA from 1 species